CCCUCAUGCUGUUGUUUCAGUUUCUCUCAGGCAGCAUGCUAUUGUGUUGCCAUUUUCUUUAUUAUUAAAGCUUUGUUUGACAUAUAGGUGAGCCGCUUUGCCGACAGAAAAGAAACUCUGCUGAGAACAGUGGAAUAUCCUCAACUUGGGUGAGUGAGGGGAUAUUCCCAGUCUGACAGGACUGAUUUUUUAAUCACCACCACGUUAACUGCUUUCAGUUGCUCUGUUGGAUUUUAUAGGUAUAUAAUUUUAUACGUUGAUAUAAACUGAUCUGGGAGGCAAUUUGACUUUUUAAAAAAGCAGUCUAAGCCUAUUAUUUAAAUGGUAUAUGACAAGUUGAUUAUUUUUUUAAUCACCCCCCCAUCCUCCACAACAAUCCCACGCUUGAGCAGUUGGCAAGUGGAGCUGAGUCUUCUUCUUUGGUGAUCACUCGUAGCCAAGUAAGAUUGUCUUCCAUGAACACGGUCUUAACAGUGAGUCCGUAAGUGACUGUGGAGGCCAAUUCUGGGUCCACAUCUCCUUCCACAGUGGGGACAUAGGUUUCCCGGUGGGAAUUGAUCACGGUGAGGGUUUGCCAAGCGUGCCUUCCUCUUAGCACAUUUCUCCCUUUUGUCCUGGGUUCAUGCUUCUUCAAAGUCCAUGAUGCUUUUGGUUAAGGCUGUUUUCGCAGGCCAGUGUUUCCCAGUUGUUUAUGCUACCUUUUUUUAGAUUUGCCUUGAGAGAGUCUUUAAACCUCUUUUGUUGGCCACCAGCAUUAUGCUUCCCAUUUUUAAGUUCAGAAUAGAGUAGUUGCUUUGGAAGACGAUCAUCAGGCAUCCAAACAUGACCAGGCCAACAAAGUUGAUGUUGAAGAAUCAUUGCUUUGACACUGGGGAUCUUUGCUUCUUGCAGUACACUGGCUUUAGUUCUCUUGUCUUCCCAAGUGAUGUGUAAAAUUUUUCGGAGACACCGUUGAUGGAAUCUUUCAAGGUGUUGCAGAUGAAGUUUAUAAUAGGAUUGGCAUGAGGCACAGUGAUUUUGGGGUGCUCUCUCUCUCUUUUUGGCCUGUUUUGCUCUAUUCUGAAUUUGAUUGGCUUAUGAUGGGAUGGGGUUUCAUCUGACCAUUUGGUUUAUUGGCCAUUGACCACAAACAGGUGAGCAUUUUAGAUACCAGCCAGCCUUCUGGCACACAUUGAGUGAAGGACACACCACUAACCACCGCUUGUAGAUGAAUAGAGUGGGGCACAGGCUGCUUCUUGUGGUCCUCAUGUAGCCUAGCAGGCACCACCUGCUGAAUGCUGAGCAGUGGGCGAGGGCGCAUAUGGCUUCCCAAUACCUAUGGCUUGGAUGUUGGGAAGAAUUUCUGCCUCCCAGCACAUCUUAUGCCUGCCUGCACUUCUGUUUUGGUUUGGCACAGGUCUUCCUUGGGAUGGAAAAUCACCUUUAACCAUAUCCCUGUAUUGAGCCCUUAUUCAAAUUGUGAGGCAAAUAUCACAAUCUGAAAUAAAGCAGUCACGCUCAGUCAGUAUUGACAAUUCUGAGCUAGAUGGACCAAGGACAGCUUUCUAUCUUCCUAUCCAUGAAAUCAAAUGUGUAAUAAUUUUAGUCAAGGGAAGAUUUUCCAAACGAUUUAUUCACAUGCCAUUUUGCUUCUUUUCAUCUUUGUAUAUCAUUACUUGCUUGCUAUUCCAAUUGGAGACAGGAUGUUUCUCAAAUAUCAGAUUAUUUGACUAUCCACCAUUCCAUGCAAUUGUUUUAAUUAUGUGCCACAACGCACCACUUUCUCACUCUCUCUUUUUAAUUGAUCCAUGACAAUCAGUUAGAGUGUGAUUGAUUGAUUGAUUGAUUGAUUGAUUGAUUGAUGAUUGAUUGAUUGAUUGAUUGAAAUUUGCUCUAGCCAUUUUCACUCCAGGAAUUUAAAACCAUAUGUGUGCAUUAUACCACUACUCUAAAUAGUAUAAGCUUUACAUAGAAAUUAAUGAACUGAAAAGUCAGGAUAAAUCUGAACUAAUAAAACAGUGAACAUGAUGGUUUAAACAGAAUCAUCUGAGAUACCACUGACUCACACGUAGGUCAAAUGAAUUAUUUCAACCAUUUCAGUUGAAUGAUCUCAGUUGUCUUUCUCAUUCUUAUUUUUGGGAGUCAAAUUGAAUCUCUUUUUUAAAAGUCCUGAUUUUUCCAUUGGAUAAAGAGGGCAUGUAUAGUCCAGCACUUUUUAAGUCGUGCUGAUUUCAAUGAGAAUUAAGCAAAUGUUCGAUGUGAAAUCAAUGGAGCAUGUUUAAAAUUGGUUGUAUCCUGUCUGCCUCUAGCACCCCCAUCUCACCUAGGCUUUUGUCCCUUCUUCUAAGUGGGUCUCCAGACUAUAGAAUUAUCGGUCACAUUCUUAUUACAGUCUGACCUUGUAAUUUUUUGAGCCGGAUGGAAACAAAUGAACUGUAAAUUACCUGGAAAGACUCAGCCAGGAUUUGAUGGUUGCUAAGAUACUCGUGGUGCAAAGGUGAAACUGUAAAAGUCAGUUGUUUGAAAAGAAAUGGCAAGCCUGAUCACUUUUGGGAGGGGUGUGUGGAAAUGGUCACUAUAAUAAAUUCUCAAGACAGUUUCAGCCAGGAAUUGCUUUCUAAUGGGUAUCACAACAAAGUUUGCAAAUGAUCCCCUUGUCCUUAUCUCUCAUGUGCUAAUCCCUUCCUCUUGUCAACCCUACGACCUCACCACAAGCCUGGAAUGGUUUCUCAUGAACAUAGGGACAUCCUAAGGGAAAGUGGGACAUUCAGGGAUCAAAUCAGAAACCGGGACGGCUUCUCUAAAUCAGGGACUGUCCGUGGAAAAUAGGGACACUUGGAGGGUUCUCACAUCCUGAAUCAAUAAUUGUGGAGAGGAAAUACUGCUAAAAUAUUAUUCAGUUUUUCCACUAUGCCCCGGCUACAACUGAUGACACAGUGGUAUCACACCUACUGUGGGCAGAACUUCACAGCCACUUGACUCUAUAUGUUCUGUAGCUGUUAAGGAAGGUAGUAUGAACUUAAUUCUUAAAAAAACAAACAAAAAAAACCCAAAAUACCAAAACCAAGGGCUCAGCUAGAUUGGUAAACAAAAAGUGUUUUAUAUGUGUUGUAUAUGCAUUAUAACACUGUGACACCAGAUGGCACUGUGGAGUUCCGUUUUGUCAACCUGAUUUCUCAUACAGUGGUACUUCGGGUUACAGAUGCUUCAGGUUACUGACGCUUCAGGUUACAGACUCCGCUAACCCAGAAAUAGUACCUCAGGUUAAGAACUUUGCUUCAGGAUGAGAACAGAAAUCGUGCCACGGCGGCGCGGCAGCAGGGGGAGGCCCCAUUAGCUAAAGUGGUACCUCAGGUUAAGAACAGUUUCAGGUUAAGAAUGGACCUCCAGAACAAAUUAAGUUCUUAACCCGAGGUACCACUGUACAAAGUUUACAACAUGUUUAACUAAAACACGUCUUAGAUGUGUCUAGCACCAGCACAAGUUAUUUCCAUUCAGAUCUCCACAGUAGAAAAUUCCAGGUUUGCUGUUGGCAUAAAGUAUGCAAACUCUGCAUAUUUUUUUCUUAAUUUCGCACAAUUUGUACUGCUGUGUGUGCUGAUUUGCUUGGCUAUGGGAUGGGCGAGGGCACUGAAGGCCUACUCCCACUCCCAAGGAAAAUAUUCUCAAGCCACUUCUCUAGUUUCUGUUAUUUUACAACCUUUGUAUACAUUUCAAGCAGCUGUAGGAUCUGGGAGCUUCAUCUGUUCUUCAAAUGAAGGCUGAAAUUCUCAGAAAGCUGAAUUCUGCACUAACAGAACUUUCCUCUAUGCCUCUGGAAAUAAUGGCUUGAAAAUGCAGUGCUGGUUUCAGGUACACAUCUAAAAAUUAGGAGGGAAGGAUUCAGUCUUAUCUGUAGCCUGUUCGGUCAUAAUUCUGUUUUCUACAUUAAUCUAUGCUUUAAAAUAAAAUUUAAAUAUGUUUUAAUACGUUCUUCACAAAAUAUGUCUUUAUAAACAUAUUUUCUCUUAAAAAACAUAUUCUGGUCUACUUUUGCAGCUGAGAAGUGCCUAGAAGGCUAGUUUAAAGCAUCACAUGAGUCCAAUAGGAGCAGAUCAGGUCAAGCCAUAUUGGGACAAACAAACUUUAAAUUCCUUGGGUAUUCUGACUAACAGUGGAAAUAGUUAAUAUGAAAAACAAAGGUUUGAGCACAUGGUAUCAUACUAUGGGGCUAGGGUGAAAUGGGGGGCAUUUCAGUGAAUUUCAGGGGUCCAUUGUUGUCCAUUGGGGUGGACAAAACUUUAGACCUCUUUGAUGUUCCAUCCUUUAUUGGCGAUCACUUGUAGCGGAGUAAGAUUGUCUUCCAUGAACACGGUCUUAAUAGUGAGUCCGUAAGUGACUGUGGAGGCCAGUUCUGGAUCCACAUGCCUUUCCACAGUGGGGACAUAGGUUUCUGGGUGGGAGUUGAUCAGGGAGAGAGUUUGCCAAAUGUGCCUUCAUCUUAGCCCUGUGGAAUGCCCUCCCAUCAGAUGUCAAGGAAAUAAACAACUAUCUGACUUUCAGAAGACAUCUGAAGGCAGAUCUGUUUAGGGAAGUUUUUAAUGUGUGAUGUUUUAUUUUGUUUUUAGUCCUCCUCUGUCGGGAGCUGCCCAGAGGGGCUGGGGAAACCCAGCCAGAUGGGCAGGGUAUAAAUAAUAAAAUUAUUGUUAUUACUAUUAACUCAUUUCUCCCUUUCGACCUGAAUUUGAGUAUCUUCAAAGUCCAUGACACAUUUGGUAAAGGCUGUUAUCCAAUUGGAGUGCUCGCAGGCCAGUGUUUCCCAAUUGUCGGUGUUCAUACUACUUUUUUUUUUAAGAUUUACCUUGAGGGCAUCUUUAAUCCUCUUUUGUUGACCACCAGCACUACACUUUCCAUUUUUAAGUUCGGAAUAGAGUAGUUGCUUUGGAAGACGAUCAUCAGGCAUCCAAACAACAUGACCAGUCCAACAAAGUUGAUGUUGAAGAACCAUUGCUUUGACACUGGUGAUCUUUGCUUCUUCCAGUACUCCAGCAUUAGUUUGCCUAUAUUCGCAAGUGAUGUGUAAAAAAAUUUGGAGACACAUUGAUAGAACCUUCUGAAGAGUUGGAGGUGGUGUUUGUAAGUGGUCUAUAUUUCAAAAGUGUACAGUAAAGUUGGUAGUACAAUAGUUUUGCAAACAAGCAUUUUGGUUUCCCUGCGAAUGUUCCUGUCCUCAAACUCCUCACUUCAGUCGGGAGAAAGUUGCACUCAGAGCUCAGGUAAUGCUGGAUUUUGGCAUUAAUGUUGGCCGUUGUAGAAAAAUAACCGCCUAGGUAGGGAAAAUGAUCAACAUUUUUCAACUUUACACCAUUAAGUUGGAUUUGUGGUGCUGCAGAGGGGUUGUUUUGUGCUUGUUGGUGCAGCACUUUGGUUUUUUGGAUAUUGAGCAACAGCUCAAGCUUUUCAUAAGCUUCUACAAAUAUAUUUAGGAUAGUGUGGAGGUCAUCCUCUUAGUGUGCACACGCUACAUUGUCAUCAGAAUAUUGAAGCUCUAUGAUCCUACUGUGAAUGGUUCACUUUGAGAGCCAUUGUUAUCUGUGAUUGUGGCUGUCAUAUUAUUGUGGAGCAGCCGAAGGAUGUUUACAAAUUUAUUAGCCACGUGUUGUGUUUGGAUUUGUACAGAUUUAUUUGGGCAGCUGAUUUUCAGAAGGACAGUCCACAGGGCAGUAUGAUUUACAGUGUCGAAGGCCUUAGUCAGGUCAAUAAAUACCAUAUACAUGGGUUGGUUUUGUUCUCUGCAUUUUUCUUCAAGCUGUCGGGCAGUGAAAACUUUAGAGCUCUUUGAUGUUCCAUCCAGCAGGAAGUCGGCCUUUUUUAUUUCCCAUAAUGCCCCAUCCAGUGCUAUUUUUCUAGAGGCGUUUUCCAGAACCCCUUCCUUGUUCUCUUAUAAUGACAACAGUGCCCACCUGAGAGGUGCUGGAACUGUGUUAGUUCCAGCUGAAAAAACUCCCUGGCCCCAUUCCAGGUUGCAUUUUGAAGGAAAAGGUGGCCAGCACAGAGAAAUUGUAGUUUCCAUUGGAAAUGUCCCUUGGAGUGGGACAUUCUGUGAGAUAAAAAACUGACCAUUAUCUAGAUGUAGUCAUCAAAGCGCUACAGUAAGUAAGUAUCCCCUCUCCCAUGUGACCCCAGACCUGAAAACAUGCACUCGGGGAGAUGGUUUUGCCCCCUCUUCCACUGCCAUCCCCCCAUUUUUAAAUGAACAUUUGGCCUUUCAGAAAUGAAAAUUUCACCUAGCCCAACAAACAGGUACAGUGGUACCUCAGGGUACAUAUGCUUCAGGUUACAUACACUUCAGGUUACAGACUCCGCUAACCCAGAAAUAGUACUUCAGGUUAAGAACUUUGCUUCAGGAUGAGAACAGAAAUCGUGCUCCGGCGGUGCGGCAGCAGCAGGAGGCCACAUUAGCUAAAGUGGUGCUUCAGGUUAAGAACAGUCUCAUGUUAAGAAUGGACCUCCAGAACGAAUUAAGUACUUAACCCGAGGUACUACUGCUUCCAGGAGCUAGGUUUGUCUGCAGCUUCCUGUUCAAUGAGCCCUCAGUGACAAAUCUGGUAAUGCAUGAAAUGGACCUCUGUCAUGCCAGAAUCAUGCUGUUCACCCUGCAAACUGUCUUUCCUAUUGUUCAUUGCAAAGGUUUGCCAUUAUUCUCAUCGGCUAUUCUGAGGGCACUUGCCUUCUUUGUGCAACAUGAGUCACUGUUUUGUCAAUACUGCAUACAAAUCACAUUUUCCAGUUAGUGACCUCAGUCUUCUAGCGUACUAUACUAGAAAGCCUAGAAUAAAUGAGGCAGAGGGGUAGCUGUAUGCAAGAGUAGGUGUCCAUAUUUGUUUAUGUAGAUGGCAUGUCUUAAUUAGCUUAUCUGUCUUUUGGCGGUAUGUUCAGGAGUAGUCAUUCGGCUGAACUUUACUUUGCAACCUGUUCUGUCCUAUUUGGGUAAAAUUUGCAUAAACAAUACAACUAUAAUUAUCCAUGUUUCCCACCAGAUUAGAGGAGAAAAUUACUAAUUAAUCUUAUUUACACGAGGAUGAGGUUAAUUAGCCAGGCAUACUAAUGCUUGCUAUCCUGCUCUAUUGCAAUGUGUCAUUCCUAUGAUGACGGUGCAAAAUAUGAUUUUUACAACACUUCGCUAAAGUGUCUGCAGCUGUGUAGCUAUAGCUAAAUUUCCAUCUGGAUUUUCCUUAAAAGAGCAGAAACAAAACCCUUGGGCUGAGGUUGCUUCCAAGUUAGCGGCUUGUUGAGCAUUCAUCCUGAUUCAUUUGCAGAAAGUUUCUGUUGAGGUUAUGUGAUGUUAACUACCCGUAUUUUUCGCUCCAGAGGGUACACCUGACCAUAGGGUGCACCUAGUUUUUAGGGGAGGAAAUAAAGGGGGGAAAAUGUGUGCUGCUAAAGAGGAAGCCAAGACAGCGAGUGUCUUGGCUGUCUGUCUUGGCUUCCUCUUUAGCCGCACGCUGGCUGUCUUGGCUUCCUCUUUAGCCACACGCAACCUCUCCAGCAGGGAGAGGUUGCGCGCAGCUUUGGCAGAAGCCAAGACAGCGAGCGGGAUGGAUCCCACUCGCUGUCUUGGCUUCGUUUUUAGCUGUGGGGCUGGGGCAGGGGAAGCCCGAGCUUCCCCCGACCCCAGCCCCCAGAACGGGUCCAGGAGUGGGGGCGAAGUUCGCUCCCGGAGCUUGCUGUUAUCUGCAAGCCUUCUGAGCCCGGCGGGAACUCUCCGGGCUUCGGGCUGCAGGCUGCUAUCCGCAAGCCUUGGGAGCCCGGCGGGAACUCCCGCCGUGCUCCGAAGGCUUGCGGAUAGCUUCCUGAAGCCUGGAGAGCGAGAGGGGUCGGUCCGCACUGACCCCUCUCGCUCUCCAGGCUUCAGCGAAAACCUGCAUUCACUCCAUAGGAUGCACACACAUUUCCCCUUCAUUUUUGGAAGGAAAAAAGUGCGUCCUAUGGAGCGAAAAAUAAGGUAUUUUAUAUAGCAUUCAUUCCAAUUUGUUUGCAGGGAGGUUAGAUGAGGUCAUAACGAUAUAAGAAGCGCCUGUAUCAUUUAUCCCUUAGUUCCAUUCAUUUCCCUAUCACUUUCCCUACUGCAAAAGUUCACUUUUUGGGAGGGGGGAGGAGCAGGCCUGUUGCACAAGAGUCCUGAACCCACUUUGAUCGUGCAGCCUGAGUCUGCUGGCAUGCAACUAAAUCCCACCUGCAAAACAGCACUUCCAGAGGGUAGUGUCCAUAGUUUGAUAAUACAUAGUAAAUGGGUUAUAAUAUCAGACACAGAUGAAAACAGUGUGGAAAAGAAUUUGAUCUCUGUCCCAGACAGUGGUUACAUCUUCCCCAUAAGAAUGAAUGCAUGCCAACUUACUUAGAGAGGAAAAUCAAAACACUGUGCUUAAGGACAAAACUGUGAUGGUAAAAGUAAAGGUAAGGUAAAGGACCCCUGGAUGGUUAAGUCCAAUCAAAGGCAACUAUGGGGUAGUGGCACUCCUCUCGCUUUCAGGCUGAGGGAGACGGCGUUUGUCCAGAGACAGCUUUCUGGGUCAUGUGGUCAGCAUGACUAAACCGCUUCUGGCGCAACAGAAGCAGAGCACAUGGAAAUGCCAUUUACCUUCCCACCGCAGCGGUACCUAUUUAUCUACUUGCACUGGCAUGCUUUCGAACUGCUAGGAUGGCAGGAGCUGGGACAGAGCAACAGGAGUUGUGAUGGAGUCAAAACCCAAGGACCAAGUCUCCCCUGACCUAAAGUGGGCAGUGUCUCUCUGUACAGAGAAUCUGUCUGGGGAACAGUGGCAAAAGAUCAGGGAAAGGUGAGGCUCUUUUGGUACAACUUUGUGUCCCUGCCCAAGAGAAUACCAGCCUAAACUUGCCAAAAUGGUCUGGUUGCAGUAUCGAGGCCAGUUACACUAACCCAGUUAUAUUACUCAGAGUAAUUAGUGUCUACAAGAAAAUUAGGCCCAUUAAUUUUAAUAGGUCUACUCUGAGUAAAAGUUAGUUGAAGACAACCUCUUUUAUUGAGAUAUUACAGUGGUAUCUCAGGUUACAGACACUUCAGGUUACAGACUCUGCUAACCCAGAAAUAGUACCUCAGGUUAAGAACUUUGCUUUAGGAUGAGAACAGAAAUCGUGCAGUGGCGGCGUAGUGGCAGUGGGAAGCCCCAUUAGCUAAAGUGGUGCUUCAGGUUAAGAACAGUUUCAGGUUAAGAACGGACCUCCAGAACAAAUUAAGUUCUUAACCUGAGGUACCACUGUAUACACAUCAUAUUUUGUCAGUCACAGAUAUAGAGCUUCAUGAUCUAGACUCAUGAGUUGGCUACUCGGAGAUACUUCAGGGUAAUGAAACUAUUUUUUAGAAGAAUCUACCCUAAGUCACUAAAUGAUAAAGAAUAAUUUGAAAUACAGAUAUCUUCUGACAACGUUAUACGUCAUCACAACCUGAGUACAGCUGUGGAGUUUGCUCUUUGUACUGAGUUUUCAUGUUCUUCCCCAUGCAGUUGUAGAUAAACCCAAACUUUCUCUCUCUCCUCUCCCCCACCCUCCAGCAAAAAAUAAAUAAAAAUAAAAAUCCUCUAGAAGCAAUAGGAAAAGAAAAUAUGUGUUUGAUUUAGAAGUCCUAUUUGGGCCAAACAGACUCCAAUAAAUGGGGCACUAGUGUUUUAAGUAUGUGCAAGCUCAUGAGUCCUGUAGAUUGAAAAAAGGAAUUAUGAACUUGAAAACUGUUUUUACGAUUAUGUCAAGCGUGUGUUUUGUGCGUAUGCUGUCUGUGUUCUUAGUAUUCAGAAUCACGGCAGAGUGAGCUGAAGGGCUUCACAGAAUGUGAAAGCUUGAGGUGUGAAUUGCACCCAAAGGAUUUAUCCUUCUAGUAUCGGCAAUAACAAUAGAGAACAUUUGUGCUUAAGUGACACAAAUGGGAAGAGUACACAAAAAGGAAGACUACACAAAUAAUUUACAACUUUAAUGUAAAACUCGAACUGAACUCUCUCCUGGGAUCACGAAGUGGAAAUGGCAUCAUGAGUAAAUAUAACAAAUUAUUAGAUGAGGCAUUAAUUUGUGCAGUUUUCCUGUAAAGUGUUGUUUCUUUUUCAGGUGGCCUGUUGGUACAUGCGCUUACGACUCAAUCCUGUGAAGCAGCCCAGUAGGAAAUGAGUGGGUCAGGUUAAGCAUCAGAUCUACUGCACCAGUGUAGCAUUGUAAAUUGUGGUAAUAGGUACUAAUCCCACCAUUUUUUGAACAAAAGCAUCAGGUCCAAAUCUCUUGCAUUCUUAUCAUUGAAAUGAACAGGGCAAGAAGCAAGAAGAGUUACCGCCGAUUGAAGAAUGGAGGAUGAAGUUAAUGGACUAUGCAGAAUUAGAUAAACUAACAGGAAGGAUUCGAAACCGGCGAGACCAGAAAUUCACGGAAGAAUGGAGUAAACUUACGGACUAUUUGAAAAGUAAUUGUGAAGAACAGAUGACGUUUGUAGGGCUGCAAUAAGUUUUGUGAGGAGUAUUAUUAGAAGUAUGGUAAAAAUGGACAAGGGGGAGGAUGAUUUGUUAAGAGAUGUAAAGGCAAUAUAAAGUUAAGAAAUGUGUAAGAAGUGGUUAAAAUGGCGGAUCAUCAGAGGUGCUGAUGGAAGUCCAAAAAGAUUGUAUACGUGAUAAGUUUUGUG